CACACACACACACACACACACACCCUCCUGGCAAUGCUCAAGGUGCUGAGUCCUCCAUUGUGAAGUCAUCUUGUGCUGAUCUACCUCACCUCCAUUCAUAGCAGGGGCCACCACAAAGAAAGCCUUGUUGUACUGCCUAGUUUCAUGGCACAAUGAGAUGGUUUCUUCCUUCCAGGGACUGAACUUGCCUGAUCGAAGCAAGACUGGGAAAGUGAGCUUCCUGGCUAGUGGAAUUGGCAAGGGUGAUUGGGUCUCCUGGGACUUCCUAGGGCCAGACAGAGCAUGCAUGUGCAAAUGUGCUAAACCGUUGACUCACUGAUUACCAGUCUGGAAUCAGACUCUCUAAGCAGGGAGAGGUCACAAGGUUUAGGUGAGUGUUUUGUUUGGGGUGGGUUGAGGUAUGCCAGACCUUAUUAAAGAGUCCUGCUGCUGGCUAAGUGGGAAAAGGAGAGGCUGCUUCAGCCUUUGGAGGAAGGGACGAGAGAGCUGCAACAGGAAGUCAGAUGACAAGAGUGCGGAGACAUUUAAUUACUUCCAGACGUGGCGGUGAUGUUGUUACUCAUAUUGGGAUGCAGGACUGACUCACACUCGCAGGGGUAUCGGGAUCAUUAGGGUGCUGGCUGCAACAUGAGCCAGAAAGCCAGAAUGUUAAGCACUAAAAUUCCCUGAUUACUAAGAAAGUCUGAGAAAUGGAGCAUUUUUGACACCCAGAGGUCAAACUCUCUACAUCAUCAUAGAAGGCGCUCCAACACAAAGCCACUUGCAGGAGGAAAUGCUGGUUUAUGGGAGUUCCAGGGCCCCUUUCACACACUUCACAUUCCUGCCAGCCUUGGAAAGUGGGUUUCCCCCCCUCAUUGCACCAUUAUGAGAUUCCAGGGUUCUGGGAAGUUGUAGCUUUGUGAGAGGCAAGCUGGGGUCCCCAUGGUUCUUUGGGGAGUACAAAUGGACAAAUAACCUCCAUAGUUUAUUCAUGGUCUAGUAAUCCCACCCAUUUCUCUAUAACCACAAUUGCUCAGGCCAGAGGUUUUUGCCUGCCAUUUUAGUGGGCAUCUUUUAACUGGAGAUUCUGGGCAUUUAACCUGCGACCUUAUUUGUGCCAAGCAUAUGCUCUGUGACUCUUGAAUGAUGGCUUCUUCCAACUGAGGGGUGUAUGUUUGUUACACUUUUAGGGGAACAGAGAGAUGGUUCCAUGUCAUCAGGGGUUCUCCAUUUGUGGAGGGGGACUUCCCCAGGGAGGUUUCUUUAUAACUCUUCCCAGUUAGCAUCUUCUCUGGGGAGAAAGAUAAAUGCCAGCUAGGGUUGCCACCUUUGUAUCUCAGAUCUGAUCUGAACGAUAAGAAGACAUUCUAUAGGUGCAGUAUGACAAGGUUGGACCUCAAUUUUCAAGCUACCUGCUCUCAGUCACACCCAUUGAAUGCGGCUACACUCGGCCUCUUUCCCUCAACUCCUGUCUUUCCCUCCAGGCUUCACAACAUCCCUUCUUUCCAGAUACCACCCCAUUCUGUUGAUAAAAAUCACCCCCGGCAAUGGGCUGUUUAGUUUCCCAGGAACCUCAUCAGCCUAGCUUCCUAGGGGAAAACAAUAUCUGAUGGAUUUCUGCUUAUGCAGCUAUUGACAUCCUACAGCUUGUGUGUGCUGCUGCAGGUGGGCAGCAGGAGCUGCUUUGAGUCCAGCAGCACCUGGGGGCUGUUCCACAUACCUAAAUCUGCCCCCCUCCCAGAUGCUUAGCAUCUCCUGUACCUGCUUUUUUGCUGCAAGAGGCUAACACAGCAGCCCUUCUGGGAACUGAUUGCAUGUUACCAUUCAUUCUUUCCUUUUCACAUAUACCACCCUCUCUCCCCACCCCAACCCCAACUCUCUCUAGGUACAUUUGUUCAAACCCUGAUCUCAGGCCAUAAGCCCAUUUUUCCAUCUCAAAAGGUAGCCUUGCAGCAAGAUGUAGCUACAGCCCACUUAGUGGUGGAUGGGGCUCAAAAGUUAAGUGAGAUGUGUUUGAUUGGUGCAAUCUACUCUGAGGUCACAAUGGCCUCAAUCCAUGAAGUGAACUGCUGGGGAAGGAUGCUGUGCUCUUGCCUAGGCUUAGUAGAGGAGAUGGGAAGAGACAGUAGGAAGCAAGCUUCUCUUAAGAGCUCUUCUAGGAAAACAGACUUGGGGAAAUGGAGGCAGCAAGUCCCUCAGUUUUGCAGCAUGCUGCUGAAUGAUGAAAAGUUGCUCAAGGAAGGAAAGAACCAUCAUUUGUUGGAUGAGCACCAGCUUUGCCAGCAGAAGAUCUCCACUUCAGUCUCUGCCAUCUCCACGUAGGGCUGGGGAAAAAACCCUCACCUGAGACUCUACCACGGGGUGGUGAACCCACAGUCUGCAUCUGGCCCAGGGGCUUAAGCCAUGGAUGGGACAUGCUAACCAAGAAGAUUAUUCCAGCAUGUGCAGAGCUGAUCCUGGAGUGUGUGCUUUUGAAUGCACACUUUUGCGGGUGAUGCCACUGUCCGAGGUUGGGCACCAGAUUAUUGUGGAGCUGGGAGGAGGGGCUUGAGGACAGGACCCCUCGUUGGCUGAUGGAAAAGCAGCUGCUGAGAUCAGCAAAGGUAGUAUCAGCACAGCCCUUGUGUGGUGAACAAACGAGCUGCUGCUAUCGGCUGGAGGGCAUCAAGUACGUACCAGGAAAGUUAGGUUUGCUGAAUUAAAGUGGGUCAAACACCUUAUUGCUCUAUGGCAAUAAAUCCGCUUGAAAAGAAAAGGAGACUUUUUGCCUUUGGUAAAGAGAUGGAGAAAUGUGCAGAAAAGGGCAGAAUGAACAAAUAACAAACACCCCACAAACAAAUAAGCAGAAAUGCUUUUUGUCAUAUAACUGCCCCAUAAACAAAUUAGAAUGAAUACUCAGUAAAGACCGUAAUAGUGCAACCAUCAUGUAAAGCUUUCUGCCAGCAAAUCAAGAUAUACUGAAUAAACAGGUUGUAAAUUCCA